UACGAAGGGGGCUAGCGUUGCUCGGAAUUACUGGGCGUAAAGGGCGCGUAGGCGGCACUGUUAGUCAGGCGUGAAAUUCCUGGGCUCAACCUGGGGACUGCGCUUGAGACUGGCACGCUCGAGUUCGGGAGAGGAUGGUGGAAUUUCCAGUGUAGAGGUGAAAUUCGUAGAUAUUGGGAAGAACACCGAUGGCGAAGGCAGCCAUCUGGACCGACACUGACGCUGAGGCGCGAAAGCGUGGGGAGCAAACAGG
rnacentral:rRNA from 1 species